rnacentral:rRNA from 1 species
UGCGUAGGCGGCUUUGCAAGUCAGAUGUGAAAUCUAUGGGCUCAACCCAUAAACUGCAUUUGAAACUGUAGAGCUUGAGUGAAGUAGAGGCAGGCGGAAUUCCCCGUGUAGCGGUGAAAUGCGUAGAGAUGGGGAGGAACACCAGUGGCGAAGGCGGCCUGCUGGGCUUUAACUGACGCUGAGGACAAAGCGUGGGUAGCAAACA